UCCGGUUUCCACACCGGUCACCAACAUGUCAAACCCAGGUAAGGUUCUUCGCGUUGCGUCGAAUUAAACCACAUGCUCCGCUGCUUGUGCGGGUCCCCGUCAAUUCCUUUGAGUUUUAGCCUUGCGGCCGUACUCCCCAGGCGGGGCGCUUAAUGCGUUAGCUGCGGCACGGAGGACGUGGAAUGUCCCCCACACCUAGCGCCCAACGUUUACGGCGUGGACUAC
rnacentral:misc_RNA from 1 species